UUCGAAUUCCACGAAGCGAAAAGUGUGUACGCUUCGUGGAAGAACGUGGUGGUUAUAUAUAAAUAACACUUGGUUACAGUGAUCGACGAUUGGAAAGCUACAGAGGUUAAGGCUUACAACUUCAUUUCUGUGUGUUCGGAUCUUGGAAAAGUAAAGAAUGUCAAACCCAACAGAAAUCGAGGAUAUCAACAAUGAUGAACAAGACGGCGACAAUACAGAGACAAUAAUAGAAGAAUAUGUAUCUGACGAAUACGGUUUAGAGUGUGAUGACUUUAGUACAGAGGAUCAGGAUCUACCAGAUUCAGAAGAUACAGACGAGACAGACUAUACAGAAAAUUAACAAGAGUAUACCUUCGAUUUAUAACAUGUUUUGAAAGAUGACGACGACGACGACGAUGACGUGAAUUCCCAAACUAAAAAGAGUGAUUUGUAACUAUGGCUUAAAGUUGAUUGUGCAUAAUGCGGGUGUCACGUUUUUUACAUCAAACACCAGUGCUGUUAUAUUGCAAUAAAACUUAUUUAUUUCCGAACUGAAAAUAUGAUUGUGGUAAAAAAUUAAAAGAUUCAAAUGUAUGUAAUGUACUUUAACAUGCAAGAAGAUUUAAAUAAAAAACAUUUAUUGAC